CAGACAACAGAAUAUAUGAAUGAAUGAAGUCAUGGCCCUGUUUGCCAUGAAAUGAAGUAUUCUGUUGAAUUUUGGGGGGCGUUGGCCUUUAUAUAUUAUGACAUAAACGGAUCAGUCACAAGAAACAUGUGAAUCUUAUGUUCAAAUCACAGCAUUUAGAAAUUAUACAUCUUUCUUUUUCCUUGCAAAAUGAAUUCAGAAUUUGCAAUUCAAAUUUUAUCAUUUUAAGCUGCUAAUUAUUAAAAAUUACCUAAUAUGGAUCAAAAGAUUAAAUGAAAUGAAAACUAUGAAAGAAUGCUAAUUAAUAGCAUAACCCCAUAUGCUAUCAAACUUCUGAUAACAUUAAGUUUCUUGUAAAGCCUUAAAAUAUUUUAAUGAAAAAGUAAUUACCUGGAAAUGAAGGCACUUUAUUACCUUGAACUAGCUAUAUGUCUGUAUAGAACUUGUCUAAAAAUCCCAUAAAAUAUUCUUUAUCCUUUUAUAAAUUUAUCCUACUUAUGUGUUUUUCUAAAGCUUC
rnacentral:lncRNA from 1 species